GGGCACAAUCUGAACUGAACAGUGGAAAACUGAACAGAUUGAGAGACUUAAGGACUUCGGGGCACAGUGGACAGAUCAACCAGUGCUAUUUCUACCGAGUGAAGUCAUUUUCCUGCUAGCGCAGCAAUCCAAAAGGAGGGAAGAAAAGGAUUAUUUUGCAACUGGGGAAGAAGUGGAGAGACAGGCACAAGACACUAAUGCUUUCAGUACCUGUUUGGAUUAUAUCGCUUCAUGGGAAAUGAAAGAAAAUCUCACCCCUCGUGGCUUCAAUGAAAAACGAAAUUCAGUAAUUUACCCUCGCAAAAUGAUGUCAGAAGAUCUGGCUUCUUGUGCAUUUCAGUGCUCAGACGGUGCUCUAAUGGACCUGGAUUCUAUGCCGUCCAUUUUGAUGUGGAAACACCAGUUUCUGGAAAUCAGAGCAGCAAGCAGCAUGACAUCAGAGUGGAUGUGCAAAGCUGCCUGCCUCGGGCUUGUUGAUUGGAGUGGCCUUGUACAGUUAUGGAAGAUGACUGAAGAGGAUUUCCUUGGUUCAGCAGACUUGUAGCUUAUCUUCUGUAUGGCUGACUAUUUGCCUCUGCUGUUGUUAAGAGGAAGGAGAGAGCAAAUGUGAAUUAGUGUCUGUGUUCAUGCUAAACCUGAUGUUUGAGCUGGGGGAACCAGAAGAGAUCAUGAAACAAAUCGGACUUGAAAAUCAGUCUCCAGGGGGUAAGGACCUUAGUUCUAGGACAUACUUUGCCUCUGUUUUGUUUGUUUGUUUGUUUGAUUAUUAUUACAACAU
ensembl:lncRNA